CUAUGGCUAGGUUGAAUUAAUUGAGAGGUGAGCAUGUCCUGAACCUGUUUCUCUAUUUCAUUUUUUUAACGUGGUUGUAUUUUUAGGGUCUGAUGUUAAUAGGGGUGGCGUGGGGUAGGAGAGGUAUAGAAUGGUCAUGGGAUCUAGGAGGAGGGAGGGAGGUGGGUUCUUGAAAAACAUCCUCAAAAGAAUCUAAAAGUUUU
rnacentral:lncRNA from 1 species